UGCUGCGUUUCCCUUUUAUUCUAUACCGCUUGCAUGCCGUCCGCUCCGUGUGACUGAGAGCUGUUUGAGAACCCGGCAUACAGCAAGCACUUAAUGCAUGCUUAUUGACUGGUAAAUGUGUGGCACCUUCCAGAAUGGCAGCCUUCAUUUAUAGAAGGCUUAUACGUUUUUAACUACAUUGCGCUUCUCUCUCCUUAGAAGAGGCGUGGCGGGAGGCGGCUUUUUUAGUUACAAUGUAACGCAAAAAUAGCAGAAGCGAGGAUACCCUUGGAAGAGGCGCGGGGCCUGCCGUGGCGUUGCUGCUUUGGGGAAGCGCCCUCCUUAUCCCCCGCAGGGCUCCCGGGCUCGCCCGCUCCACCGCCGCGGGCCACACCAGCCUCCGGCUUCUUCUCCCAUUAUCCGAGUCAGAACAGUUGCGUCUUCUCCAAAUGAUUACUGAAUGACACCAAGAUUACUUAGAAAAACAAUAACAGUGCCAGCCACGGCUUCGAAAACUAAAGAAAAAAGACCAACAAACAGAAGCGUCUGAGUCUUCUACUAGACGCCAAGGAGACGCGCUCACGAGCAGUGGCCGGUUAGCUCAGUUGGUUAGAGCGUGGUGCUAAUAACGCCAAGGUCGCGGGUUCGAUCCCCGUACGGGCCACGGGAAACAGGUAGUUUUUUUUCUUUCAAAUUUUCCCAAACCAGUGCAAAAAGUGAAAUGAACAAAAGUCAUUCAAGGCAUACGGAGUACUUGAAUUUAAAAGCCUGAUCUACCUCGUUUAGAUGUGGCUGUUUUCUCCGAAGUCGUCAGAGAGGGAAGGAAUGCAUACACCACGGAGGGAAAAAACCUUUAAACCUUGAGGUCUUCUAAACUAUCUCCGGCCCUGCCUAGCUUCGGCCUCCGUUACCGAGUACCUAAGGGUUAGUGUUUAUUGCCCCGAGUUGCCCAAGUGUUCCUCGUUCUCCAAAUCAGCUUAGGGCUCCCCAGUCAGAAGCGCAUGCCAGCCUCGGUCCCAAC
rnacentral:tRNA from 1 species